rnacentral:lncRNA from 10 species
CUGUGUGUGUAGAGUAGACAGUGUUGAUUUCUGUUUUCAGGAGCCUAACCUGCAGGGAGAGCUGUAAGACCUUCUCAGACAACAAUGAUGUGGGGAGAUGUGGACAAAAUCAGUCUGUGUUCAAAUCUUUCUGAACACUGCGCAGUUAUGAUUUUGGGCAGUAACAUUUACUGAGUCACACAAACCAUACAGAACCUGUUCUAGGCACUAAAUGGGGCAGGGUGGGAAAAAAAUACAAAAGAUAAGAUAUAAUCCCUGACUUUCUUGUUAGAGCCUCACAACGUGAGAAACAGAAUAGAGAAGUGAAUUAUUCUGGGUCACACAGUAUGUUAAUAUCACAGGAGCAAAAUAAAGAUUCCUUGACUCUUAA